CCUACGGGAGGCAGCAGUGGGGAAUAUUGCACAAUGGGGGAAACCCUGAUGCAGCGAAGCCGCGUGAGGGAAGAAGGAUUUCGGUAUGGAAAGCUCUAUCAGCAGGGAAGAAAAGGACGGUACCUGAGUAAGAAGCUCCGGACAAAUACGUGCCAGCAGCCGCGGGAAUACGUAUGGAGCAAGCGUUAUCCGGAUUUACUGGGCGUAAAGGGAGCGUAGGCGGCCUGCCAAGUCUGAUGUGAAAUACCGGGGCUCAACCCCUGGGGUGCCUUUGAAACUGGGAGGCUGGAGUGCCUGAGAGGCAGGCGGAAUUCCUAGUGUAGCGGUGAAAUGCGUAGAUAUUAGGAGGAACACCAGUGGCGAAGGCGGCCUGCUGGACGGUGACUGACGCUGAGGCUCGAAAGCGUGGGGAGCAAACAGGAUUAGAUACCCUUGUAGUC
rnacentral:rRNA from 1 species